AACGAACGCUGGCGGCGUGCUUAACACAUGCAAGUCGAACGUGAAAGACUUCGGUCGAGUAAAGUGGCGAACGGGUGAGUAACGCGUGGGUAAUCUGCCCUCGGGCGGGGGAUAACCUCUCGAAAGGGGGACUAAUACCGCAUGAGACCACGGCUUCUUGGAGCUGUGGGAAAAGGUGGGUCGCAAGACCAGCCACCUGAGGAUGAGCCCGCGUACCAUUAGGUAGUUGGUGGGGUAAUGGCCUACCAAGCCUGAGAUGGUUAGCUGGUCUGAGAGGACGAUCAGCCACACUGGGACUGAGACACGGCCCAGACUCCUACGGGAGGCAGCAGUGGGGAAUAUUGCGCAAUGGGGGAAACCCUGACGCAGCAACGCCGCGUGUGUGAAGAAGGCC
rnacentral:rRNA from 1 species